UAGAUUUAGAGAAGGCAGAAAGGGAGAGGCAGAUAAAAGUCCAACAAGAAAGGGAGGAAGUAGAGGUAAAAAUCUACAAUGCUGUACAGGAGGAGGUUUGCACACCACUCCCGAUGGUGGAAAAAAUAGAUCUGGAGGAACUACAAGAGCUGCAGAAUCUGCACCAAACAUGGCAAAACAUCACCCAGACUGAAGAACUGGAUGAAUUGGAAGAUGUUGCAGUUCUUGCAGAGGAGAAGACUGGGGAGGUUGAGGAGCCAAAAAAAGAUAAGAGUGUUCGAAGAUGCUUUCUGAAUUGGCUCAAUGACUCAUUAGCGGAUCGCUACAAGAGGAAAAUCGCAAGAACAUACGUGAGGGAACUGGAGGAGGGUGAUCAGAUUUACAGAUCAUUCUUCAUGGGUCAGCCAAAGACCCGAGCUGAGAGAGAGAGGCAAAAGAGGCAGUGUUUGAUCUAUGAAGACAAGCAGAGGCAGCGGGUGAAGAAGUUGCUGGACUCUUAUUGGAUGGUGCAAAGACAAAAGAAAGAGCUGCUGAAAUUUGAAGAGGAGGAGCGCUAUAAGAAAGUGGGCGACUAAACAUGGCCUGAGCAUUCCCGACUCUUCACCACAACAGCCGAAGAAAAGGAUGAGCAAGUCAGAGGAAAGAUUAUUAAUAGUGAAACACUUCCUCUUCCACUAAUCCGCCUGCCUUGGUCUCCACCUGCCUGACCCUUCUCUCUCUGUCCUUCUCACCUCUCUUUCUUCUCUCUCCCUCAUUUCUCUCCUCUGUCUGCAGUUUCUUCAUCUGCAAGUGCCUUGUCUUUAUAUUGUGAUUUGGCAUGUCCUGUGUAAAUAAAAUUGAAUAUUGAAACUUGAAUUCAUCCUUUCUUAGCAUUUGUUGUCUCUCCUUGGCCUGUGUGAAUAGUGUCUUUGAAUUUGGGCUCCUGCAUAUGUGUGUAGUUUGCCCUCUUUGUGGGUCUCUGUGGUACAGAGGGGGUUUAGUGGUCCAGGUCCUUCCAGCCUUUGGUGACACCUGUGAGCUGCUCAGUG